GAUGAACGCUGGCGGCGUGCCUAAUACGUGCAAGUCGAGCGAACAGACGAGGAGCUUGCUCCUCUGACGUUAGCGGCGGACGGGUGAGUAACACGUGGAUAACCUACCUAUAAGACUGGGAUAACUUCGGGAAACCGGAGCUAAUACCGGAUAAUAUAUUGAACCGCAUGGUUCAAUAGUGAAAGACGGUUUUGCUGUCACUUAUAGAUGGAUCCGCGCCGCAUUAGCUAGUUGGUAAGGUAACGGCUUACCAAGGCAACGAUGCGUAGCCGACCUGAGAGGGUGAUCGGCCACACUGGAACUGAGACACGGUUCAGACUCCUACGGGAGGCAGCAGUAGGGAAUCUUCCGCAAUGGGCGAAAGCCUGACGGAGCAACGCCGCGUGAGUGAUGAAGGUCUUCGGAUCGUAAAACUCUGUUAUUAGGGAAGAACAAAUGUGUAAGUAACUAUGCACGUCUUGACGGUACCUAAUCAGAAAGCCACGGCUAACUACGUG
rnacentral:rRNA from 1 species